CGGGAUGUAGCGCAGUUUGGUAGCGCGCCUGCUUUGGGAGCAGGAUGUCGUAGGUUCAAAUCCUGCCAUCCCGA
rnacentral:tRNA from 1 species